rnacentral:rRNA from 1 species
CCCUUAGAGUUUGAUCCUGGCUCAGGAUGAACGCUAGCUACAGGCUUAACACAUGCAAGUCGAGGGGCAGCAUUUCAGUUUGCUUGCAAACUGGAGAUGGCGACCGGCGCACGGGUGAGUAACACGUAUCCAACCUGCCGAUAACUCGGGGAUAGCCUUUCGAAAGAAAGAUUAAUACCCGAUAGUAUAAUUAGACCGCAUGGUCUUAUUAUUAAAGAAUUUCGGUUAUCGAUGGGGAUGCGUUCCAUUAGGCAGUUGGUGAGGUAACGGCUCACCAAACCUUCGAUGGAUAGGGGUUCUGAGAGGAAGGUCCCCCACAUUGGAACUGAGACACGGUCCAAACUCCUACGGGAGGCAGCAGUGAGGAAUAUCGGUCAAUGGGCGCAGGCCUGAACCAGCCAAGUAGCGUGAAGGAUGACUGCCCUAUGGGUUGUAAACUUCUUUUAUAUGGGAAUAAAGUUUCCAC